rnacentral:rRNA from 1 species
UACGAAGGGGGCUAGCGUUGCUCGGAAUCACUGGGCGUAAAGCGCACGUAGGCGGAUUGUUAAGUCAGGGGUGAAAUCCUGGAGCUCAACUCCAGAACUGCCUUUGAUACUGGCGAUCUCGAGUUCGGGAGAGGUGAGUGGAACUGCGAGUGUAGAGGUGAAAUUCGUAGAUAUUCGCAAGAACACCAGUGGCGAAGGCGGCUCACUGGCCCGAUACUGACGCUGAGGUACGAAAGCGUGGGGAGCAAACAGG